CUGGGGCUUCAAUGCACAAACGUUUCCAAAGUUCUCUGGGAUGGGAGUCCAGAUCUUGAAAAGUGGAUAGUAACAGCAAAUAACUUGUGGGAAAAAGACAACUCCCAUGUUUAUUCAGACAUCCACAGGGUACUCUGAAACCAACUGUUACAUCAGGCUCCAAAGCAAGGAAACACUGAGGUCUCAACACGUGCAUUUCUACAGGCCAGAAUUACUGGGAUGAGAGCAUCACUGUACCUUCUUACAGAGAGAAAAAACCCAGCACCGAAUCAUUUUAUGUGAUGAAAUGAACACAGCCCCUGGUGAUCAAAGGAGAAAACCAACAUCUUCUAGAAAGAGUUCAGAGUGGAACUCAGCUGAAGGGCAGAGGGCUCUGGAGGAGCCCUGAGUGCAUGGCUCAGUGACACAGCCAGGCUGACCUGCUGGCUGGCAGGUGCAGAGGGAGGACUUCUGUUCCAACAUAAUGUUAUUUCUCUGUCCCCUUAACACUUGAUUUUGUUUGUGAAAUCUUACAAAUUAAGUGGGUUGAACAAGCCAUGGUGGACCACCAGAGCUGCUGUGGGGAAAGCAGUGGGGAACAGGAAGGUGGAAGGAGCAGGAAUGGUCCCUCUCACCUGAAAAACUGAGAAACAUCAUCAAACUGUGUGACUUCUGAUGAAGACUAUACUGGGUCUCUGUAUCUCUGCAUGUGUGUGUCAUUGGGCACUCAGACACUCUCAAGAAAGAGUGAGAGGAAGAGGUUACCUGAUCAAUCAAGUAUUUCCUUCAGCUGCAGCUCUUUUUCCUACAGGAAGCCCUGGCUUGUAUAAACCACUCAAGAAGCAAACAUCAAAGGACUCCUCUAUCACUUAGUCAGGAUAAUAGACUGUACUUGAACUCUACUCAGUGAAGUGAAACUUCUUAAACUGAGAGCUGGAGUUUAAUUUGUUAUUCCUGGCAAACUGCCCAAGCGGAAAUGGAUCCAGGGCAGAAGUUUGUUUGUUAGAUAGCAGUGAGAGAUUGACACUUUUAUAAUAAGCCACAAAAGCAGGGAGAAUAGAAAGAGCUGCUAAAACUACUGAUUAUUAUAAGACCUGCUCUUAAUGCUGCAUCAGGUACAAGAUCUCCAUUUAGUAACUGUCAAAUAAUGGAAAUAAGAGACCGUGAAACAUCAGUAAGAAGGAUUUUGAGCAGACAUUCUGCACAUGAGACUGAGAAUUCAAAAGAAUAGGAGGAAAAAGCACAAAAUCAGCUGCAGCAGGUCAUUUACAGACUGGAAUUCUUCCCCAAAGACACAAGGUAGUGACUGCCAGUCCUGUCCACACCUUCAGCACAUUGCAUGUCCAUAGUCUGCCCACCAGCAUCAAAAAUGUAGUGUAAGGAGCUCUCAGUUGUUAGAUAAGGUAGGUUACAACCCAGCCAGGAUCCCACUCCAGAGUGGUGUCCUGUAGCUUUGCUGCCUCUGUGCCUCGAGAUACAGAAGCUUAUGGACCCUCGAGAUACAGAAGCUUAUGGACCCUCUGCACUACUGUGGCACAGCCUCAGUCACACCAAGCUCCAGAAAGCCAACAGAAAACAUGACCUGUGGUGAGCAGACAGCAAAAUGGUUUCACUGCACAGAAAUUCUUUGCUAUUUUUUUGAAAACAACCAACUGCACCUGACAGACACACCUUAAGCAAAAACAUCACAUGAACAUUACCCAGUGAUCUCUCAGACACCAUUAAUCAUCCUUCUGUCAAGAUCUUCUUCCCACACCAGGCUUUACUGUACAUUCCUUGCGUUUUCGUACCAUGAUGUCAGCCCAGAGUGGAACAAAGAUAAGAAUUGCUCAAGAUUUUCCUUUAAAUUAUCCUGUUUCUACAAAGCUAUAUAUAAAAUAAAACCCUCAUACUCACCACGGAAUUUGGAAAGGACCAGGCUUGGGGAUUUGUGAUUUUCUCAUAUUCCAUACCCUUAUUUCUUGAAAACUACAUGAAAAAUGAUUUCGGAAAAAUGAGUGCAGAAGGGACCAAAGCAAGCACAACACAGCUUUGUAAUCAAUGGCAGAGCAACUAGGCAAGUAUAUGUCAAUUACACUGCAAAUGUUUUGAAAAUGUUUUGUCAACCAUGCUUGAAAAGUUAUGACUUUUUUUUCAAUGUUUGGGUAAGUGUGAUUAUUGCAUGCAUUUAACACCUUUUUGCCACUGCAAAUUAUUUAGAAUAGCAAGAAGAAAAGAGUGCUGAGAUGCUACUUCCAUUCAUUUGCAUGUUUCAGAGAUAGGAUGGACUCCAAAUUUUUAAUUAUCAUUUUCCUUUUAUGAAAGAAAGCAAACUCUAUUGAUCUGUCAAAUCCCUAUUCCUGGGCAAGCAUUCUUCCUACUGUGGUUUUACUGGACUCAAGAGUAGGUAACUCUAAAUAAGUAAAGAUCUCUGCCUUAUUUUGCUGUAACACACCAUAAAGAGUAAAGACUUCACGUAAUAUCACAACAAAGCAUCAGAGGAGCAGUAUUGUAACAUAUCUGGCUGUCAAGCAUCAGCCUAUAAAAAUACCCAGGCAGCUCUGUUCUCUUGAAGUGAAGAAGAGAGCUGUUCAGGCAGAACAAUAUUUGUUUUAUUGACCGAUUUUACUGUUAUCUGUUACCCACCAGUGGGCCCCAUUUGCAGUUUUCAUCAUAGAGUAAUUGCUUAUUAGAGACAUUAGCAGGUUGUUUAUUUGAAAACUAUUAUGCUAAUAAGGAACAAUCAUAUUAGCAAGGUGUGCUCCUUACAACUUUAUUUGUUUAUCCUCAGGGACUAAACUUCUGAAACCUCAAACCUUUUGUUACAUACUGAAAGAUUUGGAAGUAAAAUGUCUGAAGUUUUUUUUUUCAUGUCUGAGAAAUUUGUCCAAUAAUAAUCAGUGGUUUUAUUGCUAUCAUAAAUAACAGGAGCUGCCUGUGACAGAAAGAUGCUCACAGGAUUGAAGGCAAUUCUGUACACAACCAUUUACUUGCUAAGCAGUAUGGAAAAAUUAUGUUGCUGCUGUAUUUGCGUAUUUUCUUAUUAUAAAUGUUACCACAGCUAUAACAUAUCAACUUUAGUAUACUAUUAAGCCCAAAGGGAAGGAAAAAAAACUGAUUGUAGCAUAACUUCCAAGGCUCUGGGAAAGCACCUGUUUCCCUUAUCCUUUGAGCUUUAGGGGUUUUUUAACCUCAGACUCGCCAAUAAACUCCCUUAAUAAUAACUUAAGAUGUGAUCAGUUAUAUUUACACAUCCCAAGACUCCUAACAAACCAACAAGUACUUACAGCACAAUUUCACUCCUGAAAGAAAAUGCUUUCACCAUUGGCACAGCUGAAUUUUUUCCUAUGCUGCUGCUGUUCAUUAUUUUGCUGUGCCAGGGUUAUUUGUACUACACAUAGUAUCACUUUCAGGCAAAAAUUCAGAAAGCAGUCUUGCAAUGGGUAGUGCCCACAAGCAGAGUAGAGUUGCAGAUUCCAACCAGACUGCA